AAAAAGACAAACCCUGGGUUUCCGUGUCCAACUUUGACUGUCCGUCUUAUAUGAAAUUUUUUUUAUAAUUCGUAUUUUCAUUGUUAUUAGAUGAUAAAACAUGAUAAAUAUUUUAUACAUGACUUGUUUUUUUUAAUUUUUUUCAUAAUUUUUUUAAAUAAGACGAACGGUUAAACAUUGGACAAAAAACAGGGUUUGUCUUUUU
rfam:Oryza rufipogon genomic scaffold, chr09